rnacentral:rRNA from 1 species
AGGACGAACGCUGGCGGCGUGCUUAACACAUGCAAGUCACGGGGGCCCGCAAGGGUAACCGGCGAACGGGUGCGUAACACGUGAGCAACCUGCCUAGAUGUGGGGGAUAGCCGGCCCAACGGCCGGGUAAUACCGCAUACGGUCACGAGGAGGAGUCUCCUUGUGAAGAAACCUCCGGGGCAUUUAGAGGGGCUCGCGGCCUAUCAGCUAGUUGGCGGGGUAAUGGCCCACCAAGGCUUCGACGGGUAGCUGGUCUGAGAGGAUGGCCAGCCACAUUGGGACUGAGAGACGGCCCAGACUCCUACGGGAGGCAGCAGUGGGGAAUCUUGCGCAAUGGCCGAAAGGCUGACGCAGCGACGCCGCGUGUGGGAGGACGCCCUUCGGGGUGUAAACCGACUGUUGCCCGGGACGAACAUCCACUUUCGAGUGGACUGACGGUACCGGGUGAGGAAGCACCGGCUAACUCCGCGCCAGCAGCCGC